UUGCUCCACCGGAAAAAGAAGAGUGGCGAACGGGUGAGUAACACGUGGGUAACCUGCCCAUCAGAAGGGGAUAACACUUGGAAACAGGUGCUAAUACCGUAUAACAAUCAAAACCGCAUGGUUUUGAUUUGAAAGGCGCUUUCGGGUGUCGCUGAUGGAUGGACCCGCGGUGCAUUAGCUAGUUGGUGAGGUAACGGCUCACCAAGGCCACGAUGCAUAGCCGACCUGAGAGGGUGAUCGGCCACAUUGGGACUGAGACACGGCCCAAACUCCUACGGGAGGCAGCAGUAGGGAAUCUUCGGCAAUGGACGAAAGUCUGACCGAGCAACGCCGCGUGAGUGAAGAAGGUUUUCGGAUCGUAAAACUCUGUUGUUAGAGAAGAACAAGGAUGAGAGUAACUGUUCAUCCCUUGACGGUAUCUAACCAGAAAGCCACGGCUAACUACGUGCCAGCAGCCGCGGUAAUACGUAGGUGGCAAGCGUUGUCCGGAUUUAUUGGGCGUAAAGCGAGCGCAGGCGGUUUCUUAAGUCUGAUGUGAAAGCCCCCGGCUCAACCGGGGAGGGUCAUUGGAAACUGGGAGACUUGAGUGCAGAAGAGGAGAGUGGAAUUCCAUGUGUAGCGGUGAAAUGCGUAGAUAUAUGGAGGAACACCAGUGGCGAA
rnacentral:rRNA from 1 species